GGCCCCGUAGCUCAACCGGAAAGAGCACCUGCCUACUAAGCUCGGGAUGCCCGUUCGAGUCGGGUCGGGGCCG
rnacentral:tRNA from 1 species